UAUAAUUCGUUGACGAGAAGAGUAGGCGUGAUAUGCUGCCUUUAGAGAGUCGCUGGCUGGUGGGAAGCGAUGGCAGGUUCAGCUGAAGAUCAUCUCCGAGAAGUACUGCAGAAAUGUUCAGAGUAAGCAGGACCGGCAGACGACCGUUACCCGUUGUGAUUACCGAGUGCCGCAAGUAUACUUGCGGAAUAUGGGUGGUACCGCGGAUUCCAAUCCGUCCCUGUU
rnacentral:ncRNA from 1 species